UACGGAGGGAGCUAGCGUUAUUCGGAAUUACUGGGCGUAAAGCGCACGUAGGCGGCUUUGUAAGUUAGAGGUGAAAGCCUGGAGCUACAACUCCAGAAUUGCCUUUAAGACUGCAUCGCUUGAAUCCAGGAGAGGUGAGUGGAAUUCCGAGUGUAGAGGUAGAAAUUCGUAGAUAUUCGCAAGAACACCAGUGGCGAAGGCGGAGCUCACUGGCCCGGUACGUGGACGCUGACGGUGCGAAAG
rnacentral:rRNA from 1 species